CCUACGGGAGGCAGCAGUGGGGAAUCUUGCACAAUGGGGGAAGCCCUGAUGCAGCGAUGCCGCGUGAGUGAAGAAGGCCCUUGGGUUGUAAAACUCUUUCGUCGGGGAAGAAAAUGACUGUACCCGAAUAAGAAGGUCCGGCUAACUUCGUGCCAGCAGCCGCGGUAAUACGAAGGGACCUAGCGUAGUUCGGAAUUACUGGGCUUAAAGAGCUCGUAGGUGGUUAAAAAAGUUGAUGGUGAAAUCCCAAGGCUCAACCUUGGAACUGCCAUCAAAACUUUUUAGCUAGAGUGUGAUAGAGGUAAGUGGAAUUUCUAGUGUAGAGGUGAAAUUCGUAGAUAUUAGAAAGAACACCAAAUGCGAAGGCAACUUACUGGGUCACUACUGACACUGAGGAGCGAAAGCAUGGGUAGCGAAGAGGAUUAGAUACCCUCGUAGUCCAUGCCGUAAACGAUGUGUGCUAGACGUUGGAAAUAUAUUUUUCAGUGUCGCAGCGAAAGCAUUAAGCACACCGCCUGGGGAGUACGACCGCAAGGUUAAAACUCAAAUGAAUUGACGGA
rnacentral:rRNA from 1 species